rnacentral:rRNA from 1 species
UACGUAGGGGGCAAGCGUUGUCCGGAAUCACUGGGCGUAAAGCGCGCGCAGGCGGCUGUCUACGUCCGGGGUGAAAGCCCAGAGCUCAACUCUGGGAUUGCCUUGGAUACGGGAUGGCUUGAGGAUCGGAGAGGCAAGGGGAAUUCCACGUGUAGCGGUGAAAUGCGUAGAGAUGUGGAGGAAAACCGAUGGCGAAGGCAGCCUCCUGGGCCAACACUGACGCUCAUGCACGAAAGC